UACAGAGGUCUCAAGCGUUGUUCGGAUUCAUUGGGCGUAAAGGGUGCGUAGGUGGCGGGGUAAGUCAGGUGUGAAAUCUCGGAGCUCAACUCCGAAACUGCACUUGAUACUGCCUUGCUCGAGUACUGGAGAGGAGAUUGGAAUUUACGGUGUAGCAGUGAAAUGCGUAGAUAUCGUAGGGAAGACCAGUGGCGAAGGCGAAUCUCUGGACAGUUACUGACACUGAGGCACGAAGGCCAGGGGAGCAAACAGG
rnacentral:rRNA from 1 species